rnacentral:lncRNA from 1 species
AUGUGGGAAUGGGUUUCACUGUUCAUGAAUCGAAAGGAACUGGAUGCACAUUCAGUAUUUCCAGCUUUUAUUGAGAUUGUAUGUGAGUUGAGUAUCAUUAGACCCUGGUUGAGACUGCUGAUUUUGUCCACAAGAUCAUACAGACCUUGUGCUGCCUACAUUAAAAAAACGGAUGGUGACAUGCAACCUAACGAGGCUGCAGCUCUCUUCAGGCAGUGGAUUGUGUGGUGUUUGUUGAUGCUGAGUAGAAGUGUAAAGAUCAGAGUAGCACAGCAGCACUCCAGCAGUGAGAUUUUGAGCCAAGCCAACAUCUUUCAUAUCACUAAAGACCAGACCAGAUGGUGUUGCCCUGCUGGUUGGGAGAGUGGUGACUUGGUGCUACAUUGCUGUUAGUGGACUUUGACCUCCCAGGCGUACAAGUUUUGUGUUACUCG